rnacentral:lncRNA from 1 species
CUGCAGGAGCUUGAGGAGGACCCCGGGUACCAGCGACGCCAUCGCUGCAGCUCCUAGCGCCGCAUUUACCUGCGCAGUGUUGAGCCCUGGUUCAGUAACCCCACUCCAAUAUGUAGGCUAAGCAGUGGAGCCUUCUGAGAGAACAAUGAUGUUGUCGGUAGCCAUGGCAAAAGCGGAUCACUCCAAGCUACCUAAUGCAAAUAAAGGCUGCGCGCGCGCGGCUUUACAACCAGAGCAGCAAAUCCAGAUGAGCAUGUCGGUAGCCUUGGCGAGCGAAAUGAGCAACAAGUUCAGGUAGAUCAAAACAGAUUUCACCCUUUUUUUUCCCAUGCUAAUUAACAAGAAAGCAAACAAUCUUGUGAAGCCAACAGCAAAGGCAGAGCACAGUGCCGUAAGGAGGAGGAGGUGAACUAGUAAAGAGGUGUACUAGAAACGGUGGCUACA